AAUAUUAAAAGCGACACAAUUCUUAACAAGAAGCAACACAAUUCUUUGACAUUAUUAAAAACUUUAUAAUUCAACAUAAUAUAUAAACCAAAAUACAUAAUCUCAUCCAACAGCUAUACAUAAUACAUAAUCUCAUCCAACAUCUAUAUAUAAUACAUAAUCUCAUCCAUUAUAUAUACAUAAUACAUAAUCUCAUCCAACAUCUAUAUAUAAUACAUAAUCUCAUCCAUUAUAUAUACAUAAUACAUAAUCUCAUCCAACAUCUACACAUAAUCUCGUUCCCUCCAAGCUCGUGACUUGCAUUCGAGAAAUAAUUGUUUGGAGAUAAGUCAUUCGGAUUAUUGACAUAUGCAACCUAUGCAGUAUUAAGCAAUAUAAAAUUCAAUUAGCAAAUUAGUCAACAAGUUAAACCAAAAAUUCAAUUAGCAAAUUAGUCAACAAGUUAAACCAAAUCAAUAAUUAGCAAAUUAGUAAAAAAAGAAAAAAAGCUUCAAUGUGGUGAAAAAAACUGAAACUUAUGACUUAAAACCUUAGGAUUUACAAAUAUUUCAUAUUUUACCUGCAAAAGUUGUGCUUUCACUUCUUUUGAGUACAAAAUCUGAGAGAGAAAAAAGUUAGGCUAUGAGUUCUACUGUAAAAUUAACAAAUAGAGUAAGAGGCACCAACUUGAAAGCCAAUAAGAAUAUCUAAGUAUUAUUUUCAUUUGAAGAAUUAUAAGUAAAGCAUAAUUCCAAGUAAAUCAACAAUAUUAGCACCUGAAUGAAUCUCAAUAAUAUUCCAUUCAGGUAAUUCAUGGCCUUACUAGUUUCAACAGCCUCUGCUUCAUUGGCCUUCCAAUGUUUAGCUAUGUUGUCCGACAAUGGGUCAUCCAGAUUUGGCGCACUGAGAAGUGCUUGAAUACUAGAAAAUAAUAUAAACACAACGAGAACAAUUUCUUACAUAAUAAAGAAAGAUAGAUAUUAUUUAGAAUAUCAUGAGAAAGAGUGCUAAAUUCAAGCAAAAUGCAUUCUUUGAAAUGGUUGUUACUAAAUAUAAAAGCACAUCACCACAAAGGAACGAUCAUGCAACCUCAAUAGAACUGUCCUUACCUAGAGGGCAGGACUCCAUUUGUCCUUUAAAAUCUCAAGGCAUAUCCUUC
rnacentral:lncRNA from 1 species